CGUGACUUCCCAAAUAUAUAUAUAGUUGGAAACAUCUGCGAUGGUUUACAUGAUUUAAGAUUUGGUGUUAUAAAGCUAAUUGAGAAAUAGUGAACCAUGUAAUUAUUAUGAGAUUUUAUUUGGAGUUCAAUUAUUUGGAGUUCAACCCAAUGGGGUACUUAGCUAAGGAAGGGUUUAGUGCAAAGUAUGCCAACUCAAUAUUUUUAUUGGAGUUUAAACUAAUUUAUGAAACAAAAGUUUCAUAAUAGAUUUUGAAAUCUAUUUUGAUUAUUAGUUAUAAAGCCCUAAAGGCAAAUAUAUAAGCAAAUAUAUUUUUAAAUAUUUUAUUUUGAAAGGAUUCAAGUCCCAAAAGCUCACACUUUGGAGGAUUUGAAUUUACAAAUUUUCUGGAGUUUUCUUGGACUUAUUUGGAGUUAUGAAUCAAAAGAUAUAGAUGAAAAAAGAAAAAAAAAAGAAAAAAAAGAAAAAGAGAAUGGAACGACCCAAACUGGGCCGGCCCAUCUCCACCAAGCAGCCCAGCGAGAGCGAGCACGAGCUCGUGCUCGUCUGCUUCCUCUGCACGAAAAGAAACCACUCUUGCCAUGUUUUACCUCUUCGAUUUCUUUCCUUCCCGCGCGUCUCUCUUCAAAAGGAAACCACCUCAUCAAUCCCCAUCAUCCCAAGAACCGAUUCAGGCAAUCAAUUUGUCGUUUCCUAUCUUAAUCGCCGUUUCCAAAAGAGGCGCCCCGAAUGCCGCCCGUCGACAUCCGCGCCCGAUCUUCCUCCUCGGCCGGUAUAAAAGGAUUCCACGCGCGUCACUUUGAGCCUUUGCCUUUGCCUCUCCUCUCCCAUUCCCAUGUGGAAAGCUUCGCCUCUAAACCUCUGUACAGACCGGUACAUCGACGUCCUUUCCCGCCGGUCACCGUCGCCAUUGUUCAUGGUGAGAUCACCCCGAAGCUCCUUUUCUCGAUUCCUUUCGCCGGUAGACUUCUAUGACCCUCACCUACCCCUUUGACA
rnacentral:lncRNA from 1 species